GUGAGGAAUAUUGGUCAAUGGGCGCAAGCCUGAACCAGCCAUGCCGCGUGCAGGAAGACGGUCCUAUGGAUUGUAAACUGCUUUUAUUUGGGAAUAAACUCCGGUACGUGUACCGGCCUGAAGGUACCAAAUGAAUAAGCACCGGCUAACUCCGUGCCAGCAGCCGCGGUAAUACGGAGGGUGCAAGCGUUAUCCGGAAUCAUUGGGUUUAAAGGGUCCGCAGGCGGUCUUAUAAGUAAGUGGUGAAAGCCUACAGCUCAACUGUAGAACUGCCAUUGAUACUGUAGGACUUGAAUUCGAUCGAAGUGGGCGGAAUGUGACAUGUAGCGGUGAAAUGCUUAGAUAUGUCACAGAACACCGAUAGCGAAGGCAGCUCACUAGGUCUGGAUUGACGCUCAGGGACGAAAGCGUGGGGAGCAAACAGGAUUAGAAACCCGGGUAGUCC
rnacentral:rRNA from 1 species